ACCCAGCCAGUAACACAACCUUCCAUGUUUCAGUAACAAUCAUUUUGCCCUCAAUAAUCAACACUGGAAUAUUAUGAUCCCCACAAAUCCCAUUUUCUAAAUCAUAUCCCAAACAAUUCCAAGUUUGAUAUCCCUUCAUAUAACCUCCAAUAAAUCACCUACUUCCUCACCACGGCCUUUGCCCUUUUAUUGUUAAUAAUGUAACUCGGAGACUGAUGCACCAUCACAUAAAAACUCACAUUUCUCCCAAUUUGCUUCCUGUCCCGUUAUAAAUCCAAAUCCAAACUCAUAAAGACAGGAAGGCUGACUGACGUUCACAUAAACUAAUCACCCUCUGAGUUCCCACUUGAGCGACAGGCACUGCAGCCAAUGACAGCAGGGGUCAGUGUUAAGUCUGAGCUACGAUAGGCUGAAGGAAAUCGGCCCAUGACCAGCCCCUCCUCUUCCGCUCCAUCGCCAUGGCGGAGAUCAGCGAGUCGCUUCUGUCGGUGUCGCCGGCCUCGGCGCCCACAAGGACGGGUGUGAUUCCCCUUCGCGCCUCGGUGGGUCUGUUUCGGUGCCGUCUGUGGUGGCUGACGAAACAUGCUUUGACAGGGAGCGAGCGAGGUCCAAUGACUACAACUCCCAGAAGGCCCCACUGAUGACGUUGUGGUGUUGUUUCGGGCUUUCCCACCACAGAUGUAAGGCUCAAUGGUCUAUAAUUAUCGGGACUAUCCCUACUACCCUUUUUGAACAAGGGGACAACAUUCGCCUCCCUCCAAUACUCCGGUACCAUUCCCGUGGACAAUGAGGAGAUAAUGAUCUUCGCCAGAGGCUCAGCAAUCUAUUUCCUUGCCUCGGAUGCAGAACUGGGAAGCGCAGAUGGAGUUCAACACAGAUGAAGAGGUUCAUUUCUGCAGGUCAAAUUUGAACAAAGAAUAUAAUAUUAAUGGCGUAAACAUUCCAACGAAGAUUUCUCUGCAGGUGGGGAAAGAUGUGAAACACAGACUUGAUGAAUCUGCCCAAAAUCUCCACCAGUCAAACUCAGACUCUUCUCUCUGACCUCCUGGAGAACCACUUCCUGGAUUGGAGCUGCAAGACAGCGGACACGAACAGACACAUUGAGUGUGAAGCGGGAACGUCAGAACGGUUACGGGCUCUUAUAUUCAAUAUGCAAAAUGGUCUGUACUUUCAAAGCACGGCACUGACCACUCCGAUGUCGUCAUUGCUUCUCUGGAUCUCAGCUUACUGAACUGAGAUGAUGAUAUCACUGCAGGCCAAGCUGCCGAAGUCAUUACUAUUCCACGCGCACCGUUGACCAUGAUGAUAAUGCUGCCUCUGGAGCCUUCACACUGACCACAGUGGUAUCAUUACUGUGUGUCCUGGUCAUUCCCAGGACCGCCAUGUUUGAAAUUCCUCCUCUCUGCGUAAAAUUCAAUUUGAGAAUUAUCAAGUGAGAGUUCCCUGCAGUCAGCUGAUUGUGAUUAUCUAGCUCAAAGGCAGCUAUAAAUGGUGUACAUCAGCGAUUCGCACCUGGGGCCAUAUGGCUCCCUUGGGGGCCCUGACACAUUUGAAGGGAGCCACCGACUGAAAACUGUGAGAAAGGGAGCCCCGAGGGUUUAUCGGGACCCUGGUAACUGAACCGAUGGAAUACCGAAGCAGCAAACUUCAUUGUAGUCAAUAGUUUCCCUCCUAUUUAUAAUAUCUUUCCAACACACCGUUUGAAUUCAGCGCAACUGGUACAUUCCUGAUUCGAAUGACAUUUGAAAUAUUUUCAGUCAGAGUCCCUAUGAAAUAUUUCUACACUAACUUAUCUCAAGGUCAUCGGGAAUAUCCUGUCAGGAUCCGGAGACUUAUCCACUUUUAUAUUCUAUAAAAGUGCCAGUACUUACUCUUCUUUAAUCACCAUAUUUUCCAUAACUACCCUACUUGUUUCCCUGACCUUACACAAUGCAAUAUCUUUCUCUUCAAUGAAUACCGAAGAAAAUACAUCGUUCAAAAUUUCCCCCAUCUCUUUUGGCUCCACACAUAGCUGUCCACUCUGAUUCUCUAAGGGACCAAUUUUAUCCCUUACUAUCCUUUUGCUAUUUAUAUAACUGUAGAAACCAUUUGGAUUUAUUUUCACCUCACUUACCAAAGCAACAUCAUAUUCUCUUUUCGCUUUUCUAAUUACCUUCUUAAGAUUCUUUUUUUACAUUCUUUACAUUCCUCGAGCACCUCAUGUACUCCAUGCUGCCUCUAUUUAUUGUAUAUCGCUUCUUUUUCCGAACCAAUUUUCCAAUAUCCCUUGAAAACCACGGCUGUCUGAAACUUUUAACCUUUCCUUUCAACCUAACAGGAACAUAAAGAUUUAGUACUUUUAAAUUUCACCUUUAAAUGACCUCCAUUUCUCUAUUACAUCCUUCCCAUUAAACGAAUUGUCCCAAUUCACUCCUUCUAAAUCCUUUCGCAUCUCCUCAAAGUUAGCUUUACUCCAAUCAAACAUCUCAACCAUGGGUCCAGACCUAUCCUUCUCCAGAAUUAUAUAGAAACUAAACAUGUCCGAUGUGGAUUUCCCAGAAGAGAAGUUAUUUCCAAUUAACUGUUCUUAGUUUCUGCGUAAUACCCUCGUAAUUUUCCGUUUUUCAGUUUACAAAUAUCCUAUCCUUAUCUGUCGCUCUCUUGGAAGUGAGGGAGUUGAGGUCUCUGUCACCUUACUGCUCACCCACUGAGAGGACAUCUGAAUAGACUCAUUAUCCAACAGCAGGUAGUAGUACAAUCCCAUUAGCUUCAUUGCACCCUUUCCAUUCCCGAGUUCUAUCUAAUGGAUUCAGUGUCUGAACCCUCCACUAUGUCUCCCCUGAGUGCAGCUGUGAUAUUCUCCCUGAUUCGUAAUGCAACUGACACCUCUUUUACUUCCUUCUCCAGCUUUCGAAAUACUUCACACAUCCCUGCCCAUCGAUCAACCAGGUCUCUGUAAUGGCCACAGCAUUGUAGCUCCAUGCACUGAUCUAUGUUCUGUGUUCGUCACCUUUACCCAUAAUAUUCCCUGCAUUGAAAUACACACCUUGCCCAGGAGUGUAUUACACAAACUAUAUAUCUCAUCAUAGCUAUUUAUUUGAUUUUGCCUGUCCGUACUUUCACCGAUAACUUACUUUGUGUCCAGUCCUUCAGUAAUUCGCCUGAUGUUCCGAUUCCCAACCCCCUGCAAUACCAAUUUAAUCCUUCCCAGUAGCAUCAGCCAACGUCCCGUCCAGCAUAUUAGUUCCCCUCCAGAUCAGCUGCAAACCGUACCACUUCUACAGGUCACACUUGCCCAGAAAUAUGUUCUAUUGAUCGAAGCUUAAACCACUGCCCCCGUUACCGUCUCCUCUGUUUCUCAUUCAGUUGUACUGUCAUCCCAUUCUUAUCUACACUAGCCCAGGGCACUGGGAGUAAUCCACAAAUUAUGACCUUGUAUGCCCUUCUAUUCACCCUAUUUCCUAACUUUAUAUACUCAGUCUGUAGGAACUCUUCCCUAUUUAUUACGACGACAGUGGUGCCAAUAUACACCACGACCUCUGGCUGUUCACUCUUCCCCUUCAGAACAUCUUGCAGCCGCUCGAUUACACCUGGACCCUUGCACUUGGGAGGCGAGGCAGCAUCCUGCGUCUCUUUUGUGGUCACAGUAUCUCCUGUUUGUACCGCUAACUGUCAGGUCCCCUAUCACUAAUGCACAGCCUGACUCUACCCUUCCCUGCCACAAGGGAAACCACGAGGGUUUCUCUCCAUCAGUUUGAACUUAAAGAACUUCGUAGAAUCAGCUACAUGCAAAAGUUCACUAAAGUGCUGUGGACUCGAGCUGAAGUCUGAAUAGGUGAUCGCACAAAUCUGACGUCGCGGUACUUCAGCGGUGUAAAGGAAAUUACAGUCCUAUGAGAGAUGAGAUGUCAAAGGUAAAUUGGAAGGCGGGCGGAACAGGCAGGGAUGAUAGCAGAGCUGAAAUUGCAGGGGUUUCCGGGAAAAAACGAGGAAGAUGCAAGACAGAUGAAUUCGAUAAAAGUAAUAAAUAUUAAAAUUGCAAUAUUUGUGAAAAGCAAGCUAACAUGCACUAUCAAGUUCGUUAGAAGACUACACAUUGAAAUAAAAGAGAAAUGAGAAUGGAUAUAAUGCUGCCAGAUAAUGAGGUCUGAGACAGAAUAAAGUGGAACAACGAGAUGGUAGAUGAACUAAAUGAGUAUCGUACAUCAGUCCUCACUGCGGAAGACAUGUUGAAGGGUGAUAGGAAAUAGAAGUGAGUGCAGUUACUAUUACAAAGGAGAAGGUGCUGAAAACGCUGAAAGAUCUAAAGGUUCAUUUGUCACCCGGAUCAGAUGAUCUGCACCCUGGAGAUUGCGGACGCAUUAGUACAGGUCUUUCAGGAAACAUUGGACUCCAGCCGUGUUUCCGGAGGACUGUAAAAUUGCGAAUGUCUUUCCACUCUUUAGGAAAGGACAGGGGCAGCAGAAAGAAAAUUACAGGCCAGUCAGCCUGAACUCACUGGUUGGGGAGAUGUUUGAGUCAUUUGUUAAGAGGAUGUUAUGGUGUACUUUGCAGGUAAGUGGUAAAUGAAAUACUACACUGGUAAAUACAUGUUUAUGCACUCCGGUGGUACAAAUGAAUGAGCAGACAGUUUUCGACACGGAAGGAAAAUACAAAAGUCUGAGAUGCAAUGGGUGUUGAAAGUUCUUGUGCAAAGUCCUGAAGGUUAACUUGCAGGUUGCGUCGUCGGUGAGGAAGGCAAAUGCACAGGAACAACACGCUAGAUGAACUCAGCAGGUCUGGCAGAAUCCGUGGAAACGAGCAGUCAACGUUUCGGGCUGAGAUUCUUCGUCAGGACUGAACAAGGAAGGGCUGGGGCCCUGUAAAAAAGGUGGGAGGAGGAUGGGAAGGAGAAAGCUGGUAGAUGCCAGGAGAA